UAUUAGGUUGGUGCAAAAGUAAUUGCAGUUUUUGCCAUUACUUUUAAGGGCACAAAACCCAAUUACUUUUGCAUCAACCUA
ensembl:miRNA